rnacentral:lncRNA from 1 species
AAAAGUCCAAAAACAAUGGCAAGCCAAUCCUUUAUUUUGUACACAAAUUUAUUCACCCCUUUUCUGUCUCGCUCGUCCCACCCAAGUGAGUCUGUUGCCUACAACGUUGCCAAGAAAACUGCAGGGACAGGUGGUCAAACGGGCGAAAUGUAAGUCUUCGGCUUCAGCGUACUUCACUAAUGAGAAACAAUGCUGUUGAAAACAAAUGAACGGUGACUCGUAAAACUAUCUAGCAGUGUCCCCCCACCUCCUUUUUCUAACUGUUAUUUUUUUGUUCCGCCCGGGAUUCUUACAGCGUCUCGCCCUCCCCGCCGGGAACGAAGGAAAGGAGGAACGGGGGCGGAGUAGCCUGCCCUGUUAUCCUAUCGAGACGCGGGAGCUUGCAGUGGAGUUAAAGCGACCCCUGGGCUGUGGCAGCCGGCAGCUAUCACGCUUUCGGAGAGCGCCAUCCUCACCGUUGCAACCAUCCCUCUCUUUCCCCCCCGUACCUCGGCGUUGUAAUGUAAGGUGGAGCCGCGAUUUCCUCGGCGCGCCUAGAAAUGAACUUCCAAGAGCCAUCGGCGUACUCGGAAAGCAGGGAGGGCUUGUUGGCCUCGGGGAUCGGCUGGUCUCUGGUCCUGUGCUUCGGAGCCGCGUAUGUCUGCUAUUAUCUCAGGACGAUCGCAAAGGUGCCUCGGUAGUUGCGCAGGACACACCGCAGAGGAACCCGGCGCCAGCUUCUGGAAAGGGAAGGGCAAACGGACUCACAUGCAGAAAAUCUAGAAUAAAGACUGAAAUCAAUGGCAUGCAUUGUCCUCUCCUACUACGAGUCUUGAUCUGGAUGAUCCUGCCUAUAACAGCAGCCAAUUAAAUAUUUCCAAGUAGUCCCUGAAGAAGGCAUUAAGAUCAUAUCGCUCAUCUAUAAGUGACUGUGACCUGAGUCUACAAGGUAUAUAUGACAAUUAUGAUUGGUAGCUCAUAAUAGUUGGUC